UACGUAGGUCCCGAGCGUUGUCCGGAUUUAUUGGGCGUAAAGCGAGCGCAGGUGGUUUAUUAAGUCUGGUGUAAAAGGCAGUGGCUCAACCAUUGUAUGCAUUGGAAACUGGUAGACUUGAGUGCAGGAGAGGAGAGUGGAAUUCCAUGUGUAACGGUGAAAUGCGUAGAUAUAUGGAGGAACACCGGUGGCGAAAGCAGCUCUCUGGCCUGUAACUGACACUGAGGCUCGAAAGCGUGGGGAGCAAACAGG
rnacentral:rRNA from 1 species